rnacentral:lncRNA from 1 species
AAUAAAGUAAAAGAGGAUGACUCAAAACCAUAAAACAUGAUUGAUGAUAAAUGAUAACAACGUUCACUUUUGCCAGAGAAAUUUUGAUAGAUAGGUGCUGACAACAUAAGCAAAUGCAUGUGUGCCACUUACCACUUUUUAUCAGUACAGAAGAAGAAGUAACAAACUCUCCUUUUGGUUAACAAAUGAACAACUUUCAAGACAUAUGUUCAAUAUUUGAGGUCAGCAUUGGUGUCAUAGUCAUUUUUUUAUUAUUAUUUUCAAAAAGUUGUUUCUAGUCUUGUAAAUUUGUUUUGUCCAUCAUAAUAAGUAAUAACUUCAUUCAUAUGAAUAAAUGUUCUUAACCAUCCUUGGUUUUGAUAGUGAACCUUUGUGUGUGAAGACAAGUAUUUGUUUGGUAAGGAAAUGAAAUUUGUGAUUACUUUGAUCCGGGAUGGGAGAUCGCGGUCAGGAAAAGCACGAUAUCACACAGUCAAACGAUCUCAGAUUCUCGGCCAAUUGAGUAAGUGGUAGAGCUUUGAGGUUUUAUUUCAUAAGUUUGGAUUUGAUGCAUAUUGACUAUUUUUGUGCAAUUCAUUAAGAAAAUGAAAUUGGUUAUUUGAAAUUUUUAGAAAAAUUUCUAAAUAUUUGUGACUUUUCCUUUUUCACAUUGUUGUUCAUUGAAAAAUAAUUGGCACAUGAUCGAACAUGACUUCAUAUUAUACUUCCUCCGUUCUAUUUUAUAAGAACUACUUUGACUAAAUAUGAUUUAAUUUAGUCUUCAAUUUUGAUGACUUUAUAGAGAAAAGAAAACAUCUCUUCAAAAUUCAAACAUGAUUUUGAUCUAUUUUGGUGAAUACUAUAAAAGCACUAGUAAUAAUUAAAACAUUACACAAAAGUCUUCACUUCAAUUUUGUACAAGAAAAGUCUACAAAACUGACAAAGUUUCAUUCAAUGUACACAUUGCUUUAUUCUACAUACAUUUCAUAAACUCUGUAUUGCACAGUUUGCUUGAUUCAACAUAAAAUUCUGGUGCAUUUGAGAGAACACAGAAAUCAUCUAUAUUAGUGUCCUGUUUGAAUUUCAUGAGGGGAAAUGGUCAGUUUCCAUUAUUGUAUUGAAUUUCAACAUAAAGAUUUUGAGCCAGUGAAGUCAAUUGUGGAUUAAAAAAACAACGAUUUAUUCAAAUUUCGCUAUAGUGUUAUAGUCCUACUAUUUCACAACAUUGUGUAUUAAAUAUGCAUGUAUUGCCGAAGAAUAUCAAUUUUUUAGAAUUACGCUAUGCUAUGUUAUAUUCGCUAUUUCAACCCUAUUUUGAGUGAGUCUUAGAGGCUCAUCGGACAUAGGACAGACUUCAAGAUUCAGCGCUGAAAGAGGUAUUUAUAGAAUAUCCACCACGAGAUUUUAAUGUUGGCAGCUCACACUUACGUGAUAUGAAUCAACUCCUUACUAACUGAACUAACUUACGUUGGAAAAUCGAACAUGAAUUACUAGUACUUGAAUUAAGUGCACAAAUUAUUCUAAUAAAAAUCUUAUAAUGUCUUUUGGUUUCAGUACUCAAGGCACAAGAGCAUCUGGAUUUUGGACUUGUGAGAGAUCGGAAGAAAAAUGAUGGAACAAAAUAAAUUUGUGAAAUUGUUGUAUAUUAUGAUUAUGGGCCAAACACUCAACUAAAAUUUCCCUUAGUUUUCAUGUUCAUUUUAUUUUAACACUAUAGUUAAGAAUUCAUGUAUAUUUGUAAAUUGUAUAUUCUGGCAUGAGUGUGAAAAUAAUGCCACUUUAUACUAAAAAAUAAUGUAAGGACAGUAACAUAUUUAUGUGAAUAGCUUAUUGCUAAAUGAAUAUAAGAAUGUAAUCCUAUGAAAAAUCAAAUAAUUAAUAUAUAGUACUUUUUUUACC